GGAGCAAAUACCAGUAAGGAUGGGAUUCAGCGUUGAUUCCUGGAUACCGUACAAGGGCCUCGACCCACCAGUGGAGCUUCUAGGGAUCAUUUGUUUGAUCAUUCUGCAGAAGACAGACAAAAAAAUUCUGGAAGAGGAACUCAUCCUUUGUAAUACAACAGCUCAACAAAGUUUGGAAGAAUGAAGGUUCCAAUCCUUGAGAAUUUUUUUUUUUUUUUUUUUUUUUUUUUUUUUUUUUUUUUUCGCGUUUAAACUCUUUUUUUUGGUGCCAGGGAUUGAACUCAGGUUCUUGUGCUUGUGCAGCAGGUGUUGAAACCACUGAGCUAAAUCCCUGGCCCCAAUCCUUGAGAUUUUAUUUUAG
rnacentral:lncRNA from 1 species